UACGUAGGGACCAAGCGUUGUUCGGAUUUACUGGGCGUAAAGGGCGCGUAGGCGGCUUAACAAGUCACUUGUGAAAUCUCCGGGCUUAACUCGGAACGGCCAAGUGAAACUGUCAAGCUAGAGUGCAGAAGGGGCAAUCGGAAUUCUUGGUGUAGCGGUGAAAUGCGUAGAUAUCAGGAGGAACACCGGUGGCGAAGGCGGAUCUCUGGGCCAUUACUGACGCUGAGGAGCGAAAGCGUGGGGAGCGAACAGG
rnacentral:rRNA from 1 species